AACGAACGCUGGCGGCAUGCCUAACACAUGCAAGUCGAACGAGAUCUUCGGGUCUAGUGGCGCACGGGUGCGUAACGCGUGGGAAUCUGCCCUUUGGUUCGGAAUAACAGUUGGAAACGACUGCUAAUACCGGAUGAUGACGAAAGUCCAAAGAUUUAUCGCCAGAGGAUGAGCCCGCGUAGGAUUAGCUAGUUGGUGUGGUAAAGGCGCACCAAAGCGACGAUCCUUAGGUGGUCUGAGAGGAUGAUCAGCCACACUGGGACUGAGACACGGCCCAGACGCCUACGGGAGGCAGCGGUGGGGAAUAGUGGACAAUGGGCGAAAUCCUGAUCCAGCAAUGCCGCGUGAGUGAUGAAGGCCUUAGGGUUGAAAAGCUCUUUUACCCGGGAUGAUAAUGACAGUACCGGGAGAAUAAGCUCCGGCUAACUCCGUGCCAGCAGCCGCCGCCG
rnacentral:rRNA from 1 species